AACCAUCACGGAAAACAUGUAACUGAAAAGGAUUUCAUGGGAAAGUGGACUUUGUUAUAUUUUGGCUUUACUCACUGCCCGAAUAUCUGUCCAGAGGAACUACAGAAGUUAGCAGCUGCUGUUGAUAAAAUAAGUCUGGAGUGUGGUUGAUCUGUUGAGAUUCAAUGGGAUAGCGAUGCAAAUGACAUUGGAAGUGUUUGUUGUUCUUGGCAAAAUGAUUUAACCAAUGGUUGUUAAGAAAGCACAUUGCAGUUUUUCAAUCUUCAAGUUUUGUUCUUGUGAUAAUGUACUAAUGGUAAUCAUAUCCAUGUCUCUUUUGGUUCCUUGCAGAGGAGAAAGCUGGAAUUGAAACUGUUCCGGUUUUUAUCUCUAUUGAUCCUGAGAGGGAUAUUGUUGAACAAGUCGGUGAAUAUGUCAAAGAAUUUCAUCCGAAGUUAAUUGGAUUAACUGGUAGCCCCGAUGAGGUCAAGAAUGUUGCUCGUGCAUAUCGCGUUUAUU